rnacentral:rRNA from 1 species
GAUGAACGCUGACAGAAUGCUUAACACAUGCAAGUCAUUGGCGAAGCUGCGCUUGCGCAGUCUAGCCAAGGCGGACGGGUGAGUAACGCGUAAGGAACUUGCCCUGCAGACAGGGAUAACAGACGGAAACGACUGAUAACACCUGGUAUUGUCAGGCUGGCGCUUGCCGGCCUGAUGAAAGGAGACGCUGCAGGAGAGCCUUGCGUCCUAUUAGCUAGUUGGUGGGGUAACGGCCCACCAAGGCGAUGAUAGGUAGCCGGCCUGAGAGGGUGAACGGCCACAAGGGGACUGAGAUACGGCCCUUACUCCUACGGGAGGCAGCAGUGGGGAAUAUUGGACAAUGGGGGCAACCCUGAUCCAGCAAUUCUGUGUGCACGAAGAAGGUUUUCGGAUUGUAAAGUGCUUUCAGCAGGGAAGAAGAAAGUGACGGUACCUGCAGAAGAAGCGACGGCUAAAUACGUG